rnacentral:piRNA from 1 species
UCAGCUUGUUUUCCCUCUCCCAACUUCAA